CCAAUCCCUAGGAUUCUUAUUUCAUAGUGAGCGUCAUAUACUAAACCCUUGGAAUGUUCGUAUGAAAUCAUCUUUAGUGUAUGUAUAGCUGUCACGCCCCGAACCUCAAGCGCGCCAACAUCCCACCAUGGUCAUGCCAAUGCGACAUUUUCAGGUAGUGUCGCCGACCCCAUUCAUUUUAUUAUUGCGCAAGCGGAACGUAUUAUAAAACCCCUGACAAUAAAAUACGGGAUAGAAAAGCAGAAAGCAAAAUCACAACAUAACACUUAGACAUAAUUCAACAGAAUUACAAACGGGGGUUUACGGCCAACAAUCUACAAAAGAUUGGCUCUUAAAAAGAGGUUAUCCUACGACCUACAAGUCGUACACGAUCUCCAAUCUUUAUGACUUCACAUCUCCAACUCCUCAAGGCCAACCAAAGCUAUCCGGCCGCUCCGUCCACCAGGGACCUGAAAUGGUUAUUCAAUAACCACUGAGACAACGUCUCAGCAAGUUCAACCCCCUAAACCCCUAUUAGAAAGAAAAUACGCCCAAGGGUGGCCUAGCCACAUCACACAGAAGACUUACCUCGCCUCAGCCUUCAUCUGCAGGUUAGCACAAUUUACAUAAUUCAACCACGUACAAUUAUGAUAACCAAACAACCAUGGUUCAAUCACAUUAUCAAAACAAUUCAACCACUUGGAUCGUCUCAGCGAUCAAUUGACUCGGCCGAUUACAAGUCAUUCCAACAAAUCAAUUACUACUACCCAUCUCGACCUGAUAGGAAAAUUUAGCAACCAGUGGCAAUCACGGCCCCACUCGACACGACCUAUAAUCAGGUGGUAAUUCACGGCCUCAUCGGGCACGACCUCUACUAGGUGGUAUUUCACGGCCUCAUCGAGCACGACCUUUAAUAGGUGGUAUUUCACGGCCUCAUCGGGCACGACCUCUAAUAGGUGGUAUUUCACGGCCUCAUCGGGCACGACCUCUAAUAGGUGGUAUUUCACGGCCUCAUCGGGCACGACCUCUAAUAGGUGGUAUAUCACGGCCAAUCGCCCAUUCAUUUCCACACUUAGGAUUUUAUAAAGAGUCUCUAUAUAUCGCAAUCACACUCAAUUUGCCACAACCAAUCAUCAAUAUCAAAUUAUAAAUGCACAGCAGCGAUCGGCACAAAAUUCUGAGCAAAUAAGGUCCCAAUGAAAAUUUUCGGAAUUUAAUAGAUAAUUAAAUUUAUUCUGAAAAUUAGUUAAAUAAUAAUAUCCAUAGUUUUCGAAAUCCACACUCAAUUCAUAAUAUCCAAUCAUCAAUUUCAAAAUCCGAAUGUACCGUAGCGACCGGCACGAAAUUCUGAGCAACCGGGGUCAAAAAUAAUUUUUUUCUGAUUUUUUUUUAAAUAAUAAUAUUUUAAUAAUUUCGAAUUAUAAUAUAAUAUAAUAUUUUCCAGAAUUUCGAAGCACUUAAAUAAUUCAAAACUAAAAUCAUUUUGUGUCACAUCAAGGCUUAACUUUAAAUAAUUUCUUUUAACCUUUAAUUUACACACACUUUAACAUAAACCAACAUCUUAAUCCAAUUUAUAAUUAAAUGCACUAAUCCACACACCUAAACUUACUUAAUUUAAACUAAGCACGCCUAGGGCAUCAUUAACACUCUAAUCAAGAUUUAGUGAGUUAAACUCACCGGAUUAGCGAGCCGAGCGGACCAAAACGAUGGGGACGACGCGAGGAUCGACUUUCCUCAAAGCGGGCCGAGCAUCCGGGCUCGGGAAGGCGGCCAAAACGGCCCACGAAGGGGCUGCCAUACCCAUUUUCUUCUUCUCUGUUUGCUGCUGGGUGGGGGCGAAGGAGGGCAGAUCCGGGGCUGGUUGGGGUCGGGAGUGGGCGGAGGAGCUACGGCGGUGGCUGGCGGCAACGAACGGCAGUGCACGGCGGCGACGAACGAGCUCCGGCAGCUCUUGCGCGAGCUGAACAGCAGCUCGGGACGACGAGCUGGGCGAAGCGGGCGGAGCGGCGCACAGGCGCGGGCUUCGCGCGGACGAUGGUGGUAGCGGCGAGCUUCGGCGACGGCGGCCGACGGCGAUUCGGCUGGGCUACAGCCAGCUUCGACACCUCCUCAGAUCUGCUGGGUUUUCAAGCAGAAACCGAAGCCGGAGAAGAGAGGAGAGAGGGAGGCCGAGGUCCGAGCGGCGAGGCACGGCUGCGACGACGAGCGGACGGGCGAAGGCGGCGACGGCUCCGGCUGCAGCUGCGACGGCUGUUGGCUUCCGGUUGCUGGGUUCGAAGCUGGAGAAGAAGAUGGAGAUGGAGAGUGGUCGCACGGGAGAGAGGAAGAAGAGAGGGAGGAGAGAGAAGGAGGGGGGCCCUUUUUAUUUUCUUUUUCUCUUUCUUU
rnacentral:lncRNA from 1 species